GGCGGCGUCACCUUCUCAUCCCGGUAGGGCUCCGGCUCCUUCUCCUGCUUCCCGGGUCCCCAGGGUCACCGCCACCCUGGCCCAGCGCGCUGCUGCCCGGGCUCCCGGCACCCACAGGCCCCCUGAGGAGGAGACGGGAAUGGAGAAGGGGCCAGCAUUAAACCCUUCAAGUCGGAGCCUCUUUUGAUAAACCACCUGCCCCGCUGAGGGUCACAGAGGGUGAAAGAUUCAAGACUCUCAAAGUCAAGUAUAGCUCCAGCUUGCAUCCUGCCCUUUCUGUCUCAAGCAGAAGAUAUCCCUGUAGUUGGUUCAUUUCUUGCCCAAGAGGCUCAAGCAGGCAGAGGAAGCCUCAGUAGGCUGGGUGUUCCCACCUCGGUGAAUCUGCCCAGGAUUUGGACUGUCAUCCACAAGGUGCUGCCCCAGGCAGAUUAUUGUGAUCACUUUGAUUAAUUUUACCACCUAAUAUAUGAAUAGCGCAUGUCUUAGUUAAGACUGUUUGGUUUACAGGCACUAGAAAUUCAGCUGAGGCAGCUAAAAAAGGAGAGAGAGCUUUAUUUCCAAUAUAUAGCGGUGUCUCAUUUUCCACAGACAUCUGGGCUUCUCGGAGGAGAACCAGGAAGCAGCAAAUCUUGGAGAACAAGAUACUUUUCUCCAUCUCUUAUCUCUGCUUAGCACUGUGUGUCUGUUUUACUCUUCUCUAUCUGCAGACUGUUUUUCUCUGUUUCUUCACCCACACAGCAGGAGUCCGCCACCGCCCAAGCGUCUACCAGUCCCUCGGUUCCAGACAAAUCUUGGACUCACUGGCUGCCACUGGAGUCCAGAUCCCAGUUCCCAGGAAAAAUAAUCUGAUUGGCUCAGCUCUGGUCAUGUGUCUACCCUGACCCAAUCAAUUAUCGGGGGGUGGAGUCAUGUACUACAUACGUGAUUAUCAUGAACUAACCCACUGGGUUGGGGAAUUAAUUCUAAGAAAGAGGGCUGGUGUGAGCGGCUCACACACCCCAAAAUACACCUCAAUUAUUGUUUACUUUUUCAAAGACUGACUUUGUUUAUUCACUCAAUGAAUAUUUGUUAAGUUAGCAACAUGUGUCACCCACUCUUCUAGGAACUGGGGCUACACUUGGGGGAAACCAGACAAGGUCCUUGUCCUUAGGGAGUUUAUCACCUUUGGGGAAGAUACCCAUUGUUUUAAAUAUCAUACAAAUAAAUGUAAAACUAUAAUUGUGACAGAUGUUGUCAAGGUGGGGCAAACAUAUGCUAAAGUAUGAAUGGUGGCGAUCUCUGGGGGAGAAUGUAAAGUUUUAAAUUUUGAAAAUUAAAUUUACCUAAAAUUAAAAAAAUUUU